ACAUGCAAGUCGAACGAAGUAGCAAUACUUAGUGGCAGACGGGUGAGUAACAUGUAGGUAUCUGCCCUUUGGCCUGGAAUAACACGAGGAAACUUGUGCUAAUACCGGAUAAGUCUUUACGGAGAAAGCUUUAUGCACCAUUGGAUGAGCCUGCACUUGAUUAGUUUGUUGGUAGGGUAAUGGCCUACCAAGACUGUGAUCAAUAGCUGAUUUGAGAGGAUGAUCAGCCACAUUGGGACUGAGACACGGCCCAAACUCCUACGGGAGGCAGCAGUGGGGAAUCUUGCACAAUGGAGGAAACUCUGAUGCAGCGAUGCCGCGUGAGUGAAGAAGGCCUUUGGGUUGUAAAGCUCUUUCGUCGGGGAAGAAAAUGACUGUACCCGAAUAAGAAGGUCCGGCUAACUUCGUGCCAGCAGCCGCGGUAAUACGAAGGGACCUAGCGUAGUUCGGAAUUACUGGGCUUAAAGAGUUCGUAGGUGGUUGAAAAAGUUGGUGGUGAAAUCCCAGAGCUUAACUCUGGAACUGCCAUCAAAACUUUUCAGCUAGAGUAUGAUAGAGGAAAGCAGAAUUUCUAGUGUAGAGGUGAAAUUCGUAGAUAUUAGAAAGAAUACCAAUUGCGAAGGCAGCUUUCUGGAUCAUUACUGACACUGAGGAACGAAAGCAUGGGUAGCGAAGAGGAUUAGAUACCCUCGUAGUCCAUGCCGUAAACGAUGUGUGUUAGACGUUGGAAAUUUAUUUUCAGUGUCGCAGCGAAAGCGAUAAACACACCGCCUGGGGAGUACGACCGC
rnacentral:rRNA from 1 species